GACGAACGCUGGCGGCGUGCUUAACACAUGCAAGUCGAACGAAGAGCGACGGAAGCUUGCUUCUAUCAAUCUUAGUGGCGAACGGGUGAGUAACGCGUAAUCAACCUGCCCUUCAGAGGGGGACAACAGUUGGAAACGACUGCUAAUACCGCAUACGAUCUAACCUCGGCAUCGAGGAUAGAUGAAAGGUGGCCUCUACAUGUAAGCUAUCACUGAAGGAGGGGAUUGCGUCUGAUUAGCUAGUUGGAGGGGUAACGGCCCACCAAGGCGAUGAUCAGUAGCCGGUCUGAGAGGAUGAACGGCCACAUUGGGACUGAGACACGGCCCAGACUCCUACGGGAGGCAGCAGUGGGGAAUCUUCCGCAAUGGACGAAAGUCUGACGGAGCAACGCCGCGUGAGUGAUGACGGCCUUCGGGUUGUAAAGCUCUGUUAAUCGGGACGAAAGGCCUUCUUGCGAAUAGUGAGAAGGAUUGACGGUACCGGAAUAGAAAGCCACGGCCAACUACGUG
rnacentral:rRNA from 1 species